CCGAGCGAGGGCCCUCGGCCCGACCUCCAACCCUUUUGUUUGACCAACACCUGUUGCCUCGGGGGCGGUCCGGACGCCGACGCGUCGGGCACCCCCGACGGACCCAACCACAGACUCUGCGUCCCCUGCGUCGGAGUACUUUUGCGAAUCAAUCA
rnacentral:misc_RNA from 1 species